CCGCACCUACGGGGCGCAGCAGUGAGGAAUAUUGGUCAAUGGUCGGGAGACUGAACCAGCCAAGCCGCGUGAGGGAUGAAGGUACAGAGUAUCGUAAACCUCUUUUGUCAGGGAACAAAGGCGGGGACGCGUCCCCGGAUGAGUGUACCUGAAGAAAAAGCAUCGGCUAACUCCGUGCCAGCAGCCGCGGUAAUACGGAGGAUGCGAGCGCUAUCUGGAUUUAUUGGGUUUAAAGGGGGCGCAGGCGGUCUGUUAAGUCAGCGGUCAAAGCCCGGGGCCCAACCCCGGCCCGCCGU
rnacentral:rRNA from 1 species